rnacentral:rRNA from 1 species
GUGCCAGCAGCCGCGGUAACACGUAGGGACCGAGCGUUGUCCGGAUUUAUUGGGCGUAAAGAGCUCGUAGGCGGUCGUGUAAGUCGGGUGUGAAAUCUCCAGGCUCAACUUGGAGGGGCCACCCGAUACUGCUCGACUCGAGUCCGGUAGGGGAGUGGGGAAUUCCUGGUGUAGCGGUGAAAUGCGCAGAUAUCAGGAGGAACACCGGUGGCGAAGGCGCCACUCUGGGCCGGUACUGACGCUGAGGAGCGAAAGCGUGGGUAGCAAACAGGAUUAGAUACCCUGGUAGUCC